rfam:Monodelphis domestica chromosome 3, whole genome shotgun sequence.
AAAAAGGCUUUUUUAAAAGCCCCUACAAUCAUCCUAGCUUUGUCAU